rnacentral:rRNA from 1 species
GAUGAACGCUGGCGGCGUGCCUAAUACAUGCAAGUCGAGCGAACGGACGAGAAGCUUGCUUCUCUGAUGUUAGCGGCGGACGGGUGAGUAACACGUGGAUAACCUACCUAUAAGACUGGGAUAACUUCGGGAAACCGGAGCUAAUACCGGAUAAUAUUUUGAACCGCAUGGUUCAAAAGUGAAAGACGGUCUUGCUGUCACUUAUAGAUGGAUCCGCGCUGCAUUAGCUAGUUGGUAAGGUAACGGCUUACCAAGGCAACGAUGCAUAGCCGACCUGAGAGGGGGGUCCGCCACACUGGAACUGAGACACGGUCCAGACCCCUAAGGGAGGCAGCAGUAGGGAAUCUUCCGCAAUGGGCGAAAGCCUGACGGAGCAACGCCGCGUGAGUGAUGAAGGUCUUCGGAUCGUAAAACUCUGUUAUUAGGGAAGAACAUAUGUGUAAGUAACUGUGCACAUCUUGACGGUACCUAAUCAGAAAGCCACGGCUAACUACGUG